AGAUGCCGGGGGAGUGAUGAGCUACGCGCUGCCUGUUGCGAAUGCCCUGCUGCGGUCUUCAUGAACCCAGAAACAAAACUUGGAAAAUAUUGCUCAUCACUGAAAAGAAAAAGAAACCAAAGACAUAGGUUUCAUGACGAAUCACAUAAAUCAUGACGUAUUGUUCCUGAACCGAGGGGUGGGUAGAUGGGUAGAGAAGCAGAGAAGAAAAUACAGCUUGGGAAAGGCAAGACUCUGAAAGAAAAGACAAACCGUGGAUCCAAACCAUUUGGUUUCUUGGCAGAAGCAUCUGCUUUUAGAAGAAUAUCCACACUUCAUCAUUCCAAUGCAGUAUGAUUGUUUCUGGUGAACGCCAACUUUUCAGUCCUGUGCCAAAAAUACAAAAGUGUAUUCCUCCUUAAAGGAUUACUUGCUGAUUAUAUGUACUGAUUAUUAAUUUAAAAAAAACAGGAGUAAAAGUUCAGCAGAAGAUACCAAGAUGUUCAACAUAGGAAGGUUGCCUUUAAAAAUGUGUUUUUUAGUAUUCUUGGGAACAGGAGUAGACGUUUUGCUAUCAGAAGAAUGCAAGAGUAAAUGGUUGAGUAGCAUCUUUUUUUCUUGAAAAGAAAAUAGUUUAAAAAAUUAUUUUAUUUUAUUUAUUCAGUUUCUAUAGCUGUCCAUUUCAAUCAAUGACUCCAGGCAGCUUACAACUAAAAAAAUAUGCCACAGUUAAAACAAUAAAAAUAUU